rnacentral:tRNA from 1 species
GGGGAUGUAGCUCAAUGGCACAGUGCCUGCCUGGGAAGUGCAAAGCCCUGAGUUUGAUUCUUGGUACCCCCG